GGUUUAGUGGUGUAGCGGUAUCACGUUUCCUUCACACGGAAAAGGUCUCGAGUUCGAUCCUCGGCUAGAUCA
rfam:Candida albicans SC5314 chromosome 2 sequence.